rnacentral:rRNA from 1 species
CCUACGGGAGGCAGCAGUGGGGAAUUUUGCGCAAUGGGGGAAACCCUGACGCAGCGACGCCGCGUGGAGGAUGACGGCCUUCGGGUUGUAAACUCCUGUCAGAAGGGACGAAAUCCCGCAAGGGACUGACGGUACCUUCAGAGGAAGCCCCGGCUAACUACGUGCCAGCAGCCGCGGUAAUACGUAGGGGGCAAGCGUUGCUCGGAAUUACUGGGCGUAAAGGGUGAGUAGGCGGUCGAGCAAGUCAAGGAUGAAAUCCCGAGGCUCAACUUCGGAAUUGUUCUUGAAACUGUUCGGCUUGAGGGUAGUUGAGGAGAGUGGAAUUCCCGGUGGAGCGGUGAAAUGCGUAGAUAUCGGGAGGAACACCUGAGGCGAAGGCGGCUCUCUAAGCUACUCCUGACGCUGAAUCACGAAAGCUAGGGGAGCAAACGGGAUUAGAUACCCCGGUAGUCCUACCCGUAUUUGAUGGGGGCGAAACUCUCAGGAAUUUACGGGGGACGAAACUCAAAU